ACUGCCCCUGAGCCCCGCCGCCGCCGGAGUGGGGGCGGUGGGUGAGGCGGUCGAACUCUUACCGCCCCAAGAGAUGUCUGUUAGGUGCCUACCGGCGUGACACCCGCGCCCCCCUUACAUCUCCCAGCAGGUGAAGGGGAAGAGGAGGGAAAAGGGGCAGUCCACAGAUAAGAAUGAGACUAAGAUGAAAGAGCAUGAACUUCAGUCAUUGAAGACACACAAUGUAUGUCUGCAUGAACAGCUUAUGCGUCUUCCAAAGCUCUAUACCUUAACAUACCUUGCACUGGCAUGUGGAAGUCUUUCACAAGUUGAUUCCUAGACUGUAAGUUCUGAUAAUUUGUAAAUAUGAAAAAAUGUUCAAAAAAUAUGUAGACAUAGAAAAAUGCUCAAAACUAGAGUCCUGGGAUGCUCCAUUAUAUGCUUGAAAAUAUAGCCAGGACGCUGGUCCUCCUUGCAGGGACAAAUCCUACAUUUGCUGCAUUCAGAGAACCUCAGCCUCAGAAGCCAAUUUAUGUAACCAAACUGUUCCACUAGCUGCACAGGGGGGGAGAAGCAUGACAAGCUGUGAGAUAUAGGUGCAGCCUUGGGAGGCUGAGAACCAGAAGGAUUGUCAGAGCUUGUGGAGCACAUCUGUGUAGAUGUUGCUGCAUCCUGAUACAUGUAUGCUAUGGUUCUUUGGAGCAAUUGGCAGGAAAGUUUGUUCUCUGCCAAAAUCUCUCUUAGCAGAGUCACUACAGCACAUUUCCAAGGCUGAACAGCUUCUCUGGGUCUGGUAUUAACAUUUUGGCAGACAGUCCUUUAUGCUGUUUGUGAGCACUUCUGUUCUGAGGCUGGUAUAUAUAUGUGGUAUAUAUGGCACUGAGACUAAAUUUCUCAUCACUACUUUCCCUUCUGCUGGGAAGUUAACAUAUGCUAUUGCUCAGCAAAGGACAACAUUACAUUGUAGUUCCCUUAUUUAAAACAAUAACAACUGUCUCCUGCACAGAAAACUAAUAGGCCCUGUCCCCAGAUGGUGUAAAUUAGCAUGGCACCACUCAUGUCUGAUUUAUAACAACUGAAGAUCCAGCCUUCCCAAUAUACCACAUGAUUAAGCAUGCACUUCACUAGCCUAGAAAUGUCUUGAGGGCCAUGUAAUUGUGUGGUGAUGAACUAAACUUUUAAUUAAGUUCUCAUUUUGAAUUAGAAUCAAUAAGUCAAUAAAUAGCCUUCACUUGAUUUAGAUGAUAAAUAUGCCAGCUGAGGCUGCACUCUAUGUUCUCCCUACUUUUCAGGCUGUCCUUUCUUCUCCAUAUGUCAGAAUCUAAUGAAGGAGCUCUGAAGUAUGGUCCUAAUAUAUUAUUGUCACACAUGGUGAUAAUACUGGUAGAGUUAGGAGACAGCCAGGUUGCUAUUAUAAAUACAGUUCCCAAGGUUUUAUAGCAUGUGUUUCAAACUGCAGUCAGCAAAGUUGUUUUUACAAGGAGCUGUCAGCCACAGCUUGAAUUUUUGUCAAAAUAAAAUUAAAACUGGAUUUGAUUGAUUCAAUCUGUCAAUUUUUCAGGAAUUCUGAAGCUAUUUUUGUUAACCUCCAGUAUAAUAUGCCUUAGAUUUGAAAAAUGCAGUUUCAUAGCAAGCUUUUAACAUGACUAAUUACUGAUUUUUGUUGGGAGGAGAGAAAGGGCAAAUGGGUUUGUAUGGUGGUAAUGACUCUUAUAUUUUAAGACUGGACAAGACCUUUCUGACCAUCUAGUCUGACCCUUUGAAUAGCUAGGUCACAGAAUUUCACCCGGUAAUUAACACAUCUGUCCCAGUAACUUCCAGGUUGAAUUACAGCAGAUCUUUAGAAAGCUCUUACUUCUCACUGUAGGGAAUGUCACAGGCAAACUAUAUAAUCCAGUACUUGGAAUGGCACAGCAGAAGUUAUCACUUGAGACUUCUACUCUUCACUCUGAUUCUGACUCACUGUGUGGUCUUAGGAAAGCAACUUAAUUUUUCUGAUUUCUCCGUUUUUCCAUCUUCUGCAAUGAGGAAAAUAAUAUUUAGAAGCCUCAGAGAGGGGGUGGUGAGAUGUAACAAGUUAUUUGAGGAAUGCUUUGAACUAUUCAGAUAAAAAAUGCUAUUCUGUAAAAGUAAAGAAAGCCAGUACGAUGUAUUCAAAUUUGAAGAAUGAUUACUUUUCAGAAUGUGCUCUCCCUCUGCAUUUGUGUCAAGUUAGCAG